rnacentral:rRNA from 1 species
GGCUCACCUAGGCGACGAUCCCUAGCUGGUCUGAGAGGAUGACCAGCCACACUGGAACUGAGACACGGUCCAGACUCCUACGGGAGGCAGCAGUGGGGAAUAUUGCACAAUGGGCGCAAGCCUGAUGCAGCCAUGCCGCGUGUGUGAAGAAGGCCUUCGGGUUGUAAAGCACUUUCAGCGGGGAGGAAGGCGAUAAGGUUAAUAACCUUGUCGAUUGACGUUACCCGCAGAAGAAGCACCGGCUAACUCCGUGCCAGCAGCCGCGGUAAUACGGAGGGUGCAAGCGUUAAUCGGAAUUACUGGGCGUAAAGCGCACGCAGGCGGUCUGUCAAGUCGGAUGUGAAAUCCCCGGGCUCAACCUGGGAACUGCAUUCGAAACUGGCAGGCUAGAGUCUUGUAGAGGGGGGUAGAAUUCCAGGUGUAGCGGUGAAAUGCGUAGAGAUCUGGAGGAAUACCGGUGGCGAAGGCGGCCCCCUGGACAAAGACUGACGCUCAGGUGCGAAAGCGUGGGGAGCAAACAGGAUUAGAUACCCUGGUAGUCCACGCCGUAAACGAUGUCGAUUUGGAGGUUGUGCCCUUGAGGCGUGGCUUCCGGAGCUAACGCGUUAAAUCGACCGCCUGGGGAGUACGGCCGCAAGGUUAAAACUCAAAUGAAUUGACGGGGGCCCGCACAAGCGGUGGAGCAUGUGGUUUAAUUCGAUGCAACGCGAAGAACCUUACCUGGUCUUGACAUCCACAGAACUUUCCAGAGAUGGAUUGGUGCCUUCGGGAACUGUGAGACAGGUGCUGCAUGGCUGUCGUCAGCUCGUGUUGUGAAAUGUUGGGUUAAGUCCCGCAACGAGCGCAACCCUUAUCCUUUGUUGCCAGCGGUCCGGCCGGGAACUCAAAGGAGACUGCCAGUGAUAAACUGGAGGAAGGUGGGGAUGACGUCAAGUCAUCAUGGCCCUUACGACCAGGGCUACACACGUGCUACAAUGGCAUAUACAAAGAGAAGCGACCUCGCGAGAGCAAGCGGACCUCAUAAAGUAUGUCGUAGUCCGGAUUGGAGUCUGCAACUCGACUCCAUGAAGUCGGAAUCGCUAGUAAUCGUAGAUCAGAAUGCUACGGUGAAUACGUUCCCGGGCCUUGUACACACCGCCCGUCACACCAUGGGAGUGGGUUGCAAAAGAAGUAGGUAGCUUAACCUUCGGGAGGGCGCUUACCACUUUGUGAUUCAUGACUGGGGUGAAGUCGUAACAAGGUAACCGUAGGGGAACCUGCGGUUGGAUCACCUCCUUA